UCCGAGUUGACCCCGGCAGUCUCCCACGAGUCCCCGGCAUAACCCGCUGGCAACAUGGGAUAAGGGUUGCGCUCGUUGCGGGACUUAACCCAACAUCUCACGACACGAGCUGACGACAGCCAUGCACCACCUGUGAUCCUGCCCAAUAAAGGGAAACCGUGUUUCCACGGCGGUCAGGAACAUGUCAAACCCAGGUAAGGUUCUUCGCGUUGCGUCGAAUUAAACCACAUAAUCCACCGCUUGUGCGGGUCCCCGUCAAUUCCUUUGAGUUUUAACCUUGCGGCCGUACUCCCCAGGCGGUGCGCUUAAUGCGUUAGCUACGGCACGGAUCCCGUGGAAGGAAACCCACACCUAGCGCCCACCGUUUACGGCGUGGACUAC
rnacentral:misc_RNA from 1 species